rnacentral:rRNA from 1 species
UACGUAGGGGGCAAGCGUUGUCCGGAUUUAUUGGGCGUAAAGAGCGUGUAGGCGGCCUGAAAGGUCAGCUGUGAAAACUCGAGGCUCAACCUCGAGACGUCGGUUGAAACCAUCUGUCUAGAGUCCGGAAGAGGAGUGUGGAAUUCCCGGUGUAGCGGUGAAAUGCGCAGAUAUCGGGAAGAACACCCGUGGCGAAGGCGGCACUCUGGGACGGUACUGACGCUGAGACGCGAAAGCGUGGGGAGCGAACAGG